rnacentral:rRNA from 1 species
UACGGAGGGUGCAAGCGUUGUCCGGAUUUAUUGGGUUUAAAGGGUGCGUAGGCGGCCUGUUAAGUCAGAGGUGAAAUCCCGGGGCUCAACCCCGGAACUGCCUUUGAUACUGGCAGGCUUGAGUUCGGUAGAGGCGGGCGGAACUCAUGGUGUAGCGGUGAAAUGCAUAGAUACCAUGAAGAACUCCGAUUGCGAAGGCAGCUCGCUGUGCCGAAACUGACGCUGAGGCACGAAAGCGUGGGGAGCGAAC